rnacentral:rRNA from 1 species
GAUGAACGCUGGCGGCGUGCCUAAUACAUGCAAGUCGAGCGAACAGACGAGGAGCUUGCUCCUCUAACGUUAGCGGCGGACGGGUGAGUAACACGUGGAUAACCUACCUCUAAGACUGGGAUAACUUCGGGAAACCGGAGCUAAUACCGGAUAAUAUAUUGAACCGCAUGGUUCAAUAGUGAAAGACGGUUUUGCUGUCACUUAUAGAUGGAUCCGCGCCGCAUUAGCUAGUUGGUAAGGUAACAGCUUACCAAGGCAACGAUGCGUAGCCGACCUGAGAGGGGGAUCGGCCACACUGGAACUGAGACACGGUCAAGACUCCUACGGGAGGCAGCAGUAGGGAAUCUUCCGCAAUGGGCGAAAGCCUGACGGAGCAACGCCGCGUGAGUGAUGAAGGUCUUCGGAUCGUAAAACUCUGUUAUGAGGGAAGAACAAAUGUGUAAGUAACUAUGCACGUCUUGACGGUACCUAAUCAGAAAGCCACGGCUAACUACGUG